AUUGAACGCUGGCGGCAGGCCUAACACAUGCAAGUCGAACGAGAGGAGGACGGGUGAGUAAUGGCUGGGAAACUGCCUGAUGGAGGGGGAUAAGUACUGGAAACGGUAGAUAAAACCGCAUACCAUCAGAUGUGGCCAGAUGGGAUUAGCUUGUUGGUGGGGUAACGGCUCACCAAGGCGAAGAUCCCUAGCUGGUCUGAGAGGAUGACCAGCCACACUGGGACUGAGACACGGUCCAGACUCCUACGGGAGGCAGCAGUGGGGAAUCUUGCACAAUGGGCGCAAGCCUGAUGCAGCCAUGCCGCGUGUAUGAAGAAGGCCUUCGGGUUGUAAAGUCCUUUCGUCGGGGAGGCGUUACCCGCAGAAGAAGCCCCGGCUAACUCCGUGCCAGCAGCCGCGGUAAUUC
rnacentral:rRNA from 1 species